rnacentral:rRNA from 1 species
GACGAACGCUGGCGGCGUGCUUAACACAUGCAAGUCGAACGGUGAAGCCCUUCGGGGUGGAUCAGUGGCGAACGGGUGAGUAACACGUGAGUAAUCUGCCUCUGACUCUGGGAUAACCACGGGAAACGGUGGCUAAUACCGGAUAUGACAUGCGGCCGAGUGGUCUGUGUGUGGAAAGUUUUUCGGUCAGAGAUGAGCUCGCGGCCUAUCAGCUUGGUGGUGGGGUAAUGGCCUACCAAGGCGACGACGGGGAGCCGGCCUGAGAGGGCGACCGACCCCAAUGGGACUGAGACACGGCCCAGACUCCUACGGGAGGCAGCAGUGGGGAAUAUUGCGCAAUGGGCGAAAGCCUGACGCAGCGACGCGGCGUGAGGGAUGAAGGCCUUCGGGUCGUAAACCUCUUUCAGCAGGGAAGAGGCGCAAGUGACGGUACCUGCAGAAGAAGCACCGGCUAACUACGUGCCAGCCGCCGCCGUAAAAC